rnacentral:rRNA from 1 species
CCUACGGGGGGCAGCAGUGGGGGAUAUUGCACAAUGGGGGGAACCCUGAUGCAGCGACGCCGCGUGGGUGAAGAAGCGCCUCGGCGCGUAAAGCCCUGUCAGCAGGGAAGAAAAUGACGGUACCUGAAGAAGAAGCCCCGGCUAACUACGUGCCAGCAGCCGCGGUAAUACGUAGGGGGCAAGCGUUAUCCGGAUUUACGGGGGGUAAAGGGGGCGCAGACGGCGAUGCAAGCCAGGAGUGAAAGCCCGGGGGCCAACCCCGGGACUGCCCUUGGAACUGCGUGGCUGGAGUGCAGGAGGGGCAGGCGGAAUGCCUGGUGUAGCGGUGAAAUGCGUAGAUAUCAGGAGGAACACCGGUGGCGAAGGCGGCCUGCUGGACUGCAACUGACGUUGAGGCCCGAAAGCGUGGGGAGCAAACAGGAUUAGAUACCCCUGUAGUC